UGAACGAGGCAAGUGGGCGGGCGGUGUGGAGCCCUUGUGCUGUAGGAGAGCGGGUAGUGGAGCGGCGGCACUCCUUGGACAAGCGGGGCCAGAUGUGAGGUACUGCGGCGGGCUUUUCUCCUCAGGGUCCGAGCGGAGCCGUUGAGGAGAAGAGAGGAGCGAGCCUCAGGAGCGCAGAAGCAGAAAGGAUGCAUCUAUUCCGUUGAAGACCCCUCAAAAAAUUGUGACGGGCGGAGAAACGCUCUUGAGUUGUGAUGGCAGAAGAAGAUGGGGCUAAAUUCCGCUUGUGAAUUCUAGGAGUAGCUGUAACUAGACUGUUUAAUUUUUUCUUAAUGUAGGGUGGAUCUUUCUAAUCUUCUGGAAUGGAUGCCUUUUGCAAGCAAUGUUUCUGGUUCCCAGGAAGGGCUAGCAGAAGCUUAUUUUAGGCUAGGUCUUAAUCUCACUUCGAACUCAAAGAGUUUUUCAAAUAAAGUUCAGACUUGGAGCCUAAGUGAGAUGCUCUGCAGUCCAUGUAAUCGUUUUUAAAGGGCUGAAAUGUGGAUUACGGUGCCUAAAACAACCUCUGCUGCUUCCAUACAAAUGCAGUUAGGGUGGCUACCUCGCUUUGUGCAGCUUUUAUGGAUCUUUGGCUGCUCUGAUCUUUGGGCUAUCACCAAGUCUGAAGCAAUUUUAAUAAUGCUGUGAGUAAAGAGGCUGUGCUUUCUUCUGAUAUAUGGCUUACAUACUGUGGUAUUGUUAACUGUGAUGGUGUGCAUCUGCAGUUGUGGCUCUUCUGCUGUUCAAGUGUGUUGGAAAAUUUGCUGCAAGGAGUAUACAUGUGCUGUAUAAGGUGAAGGUAAGUUUGUGAAGUCUAGAAAAUUGGCUCAAAGUGUGCAGUCACAAUUUUAGUAUAUAUGCCACUGUGAACUAUUUAAAUGUAUGAAUAAAGCAAUAAAGAGACAUUGACUUUGA